CUGGCCGGAAACGUUUGCCAAACUAGAUAGCGUCUCUGACGAACUUAUUAAUUGCUACUUGAACGAUCGCAAACAAUGUUUAAACGAGAUGACGUACGCCCUAACAGCUUAUUCCCAUCAGAACAAGCCCGGCAAAGUUUUGGAAAUGGUCAGGAUUUUAGUUUCGGCACCGUGGCAUAUUCUUCAUCCUUUGGACAAAUUGAGAAUGAUGAAAGCUUGGAGCAAAUACAGCCAGGUGCUCAACGAUCCAGUGCGUAAUCUCAACAUGCGACUAACAUUCCAGAACGGCGAAGUCACUUUCAUCCAAUCCCAUCAUCUG